rfam:Schistosoma rodhaini strain Burundi genome assembly, scaffold: SROB_scaffold0011619
AUUCAGUUGAUGAGUUUCAAAUAGGACGAAACGCGCGUCAAGCUGGAU